CUCACGUGCGUCACAUAUGUCGAAAUAAACUCGCUUUGUUCAUUUUGUAAACUUCCAUUCAUUUAUAUACGGAGUUUAUAACCGUGUCCGUCGUUUAGUACAAGAUUUCUGUUGAAUUUAGAUCGUACAAUGUAUUGGAAGUUUCAUGCUGCGCCUUCAGCAAGAGUAGCUGAGCUCCUAAAUAAAGAGGAUGUCACAUUAGAAGAAUUGUUGGAUGAAGAGGAUAUCAUACAAGAAUGCAAAGCUCAAAAUAGCAAUGUGAUAGACUUUCUGGUGCAGCCCGAGGUGAUGAUGGCGCUCGUGUCUCACAUGGUGACCGAGCCGGACCCGACCGGCGACGUGGCCUCCCAGUACCGCUACGCCAACAUGGCCUCGGAGAUCGUCACGUGCAACGUGCCGGCCAUUAUCGACCAGCUGGCUGGCGAGCGGCCGCUGCUGCGGCGGCUCUACAGCCUGCUGGAGUGUGAGCCGCCGCUGAACCCGCUGCUGGCCAGCUACUUCAGCCGCACGCUGGCGCUGCUCAUCGUACGGCGGCCCGGCCAGAGCUGGUACUCGUAUCAAUUCAACUGCCUCCAGGUGUUAGAAUUUCUCAAGUCGAUGGACACGUUCAUUGACCUGGUGCUGCGCCACCUGGGCACGUCUGCAAUCAUGGACCUCACGUGCAAUCUCAUCUCGGGCAUCGAGGCGCCAGAGUAUCGCCAGAAUGCGCUCAAUUGGCUCAACGACCAGCGGCUGGUGCAGCGGCUGGCCGAGCUGAUGGCCGAUGGAGAGCACCCCGACCGGCAGGCCAACGCCGGACAGGUCAUCAUGUCGGUGGUGAGCUGCGCGCGCCAGAUGGCCCAGCAGCUCGGCCCCGGAGAGAAGGAGCCCAACCCGCUCGUCUCCACCAUCGAAACGACGGAGUUUGUGUCGUCGGUGCUGGACGGCGUGCUGGGCCCGGCGCGCACCGAGGCCGGCCUGGUGAACGCGUUCCUGGUGUUGCGGCUGCUGCUGGACACGGGCCGGCCCGGCGCGCCCUACGCCCAAAACGAGGCUGACGAGGAGGUGCCGCCGGAGGAGCCGGCCAGCGUGCAGGCCGUGGCGGACGCGCUGCUGCCGCGGCUGGCCGACUGUCACCGGCUGCUGCUGGAGCCGCCGCCGCGGCCCGCCGUGCCCACCACGUGCGGCCGCCUGGAGCCGCCGCUGGGCGCCACACGGCUGCAGGUGGCGCGUCUGACCACGGCGCUGCUGGCCGCCAACCGGCACCCGGUCAACUGCCGGCUGGCGCAGCUCGGCACCAUCGACCUGCUCCUGGACCUGUUCUUCCAGUACACGCUAAACAACUUCCUUCACUCGCAAGUAGAGCAAAGUAUCGCGCUCAUCCUAGAGGCUGAGCCACAGGAAAGUGAAGAAGGCAAGAGUUGCCACCCACUUCUAGUACAUAUUUUCACAAAGACAAAGCUAGUGCAGAGGAUACUUCAGGGCAUGGAGGAGCCUCAGACAAACGGCGAAUCGUCCGAACAAAAACGGCGGUGUUUCCGCUCAUCGCGCGCGUACUGCGGCCACCUGGUGAAUAUGGCCAACAAGGUGUGCUCGGCGGCCGAGGAGGGGCCCAACGUGCAGCUGGUGCGCGAGCAGCUGGACGCCCUGCCCGACGACAUACGAGCCAGCUGGCAGGCCUUCAAGGAGGCCAAGCUGCACAGGAUCAAUGAACAGAACAAGCCGGUGUUGCCGGAGACCAAGCAGGAGACUGCCAGCGAGUCCGACUACCGACAGGUGACCGAGGCUCAGCAGGCCACCAUCCUCAGGACGUUCCACAACUUCCAGCUGCUGCACGCGAGUACGGCCGGCGCCGACGGGCAGGGCGCCGACGACCUGGGCGACGACGACGGCUACAACGACAUCGGAGACGGCCUCAGCGCGUCGCCGGACGAGGUGACUCCAGUCGGCCUGCUGUCUCUGGACGCCGGCGGCGACGGCCGGCCGUCGGCGGUCGACCUGUUCGCGGCCGCCAGCGAGGCGGACCCGUGGCCGGCGCGGCGCACGGCCAGCCUGGAGCCAUGCCACAGCAGCUCGGAUGAGGACGACGAGUCGGACGAGGGCGGCGCAGGCGACGACAGCGCGCCGGCGCAUAUCUCCAUGGAGGUAGACACGAGCGACCCGUGGGCCGCCGCUACUGCUACCGACUCACCGCAGGUGGCCAUGGAGACCAAUAUGUGGGAGGAGGCGCCCCCGGCAGCGGCGCCGGCCGCCGGAGACGCGGCGGAGACCGCACAGUGGCCUGCCUUCCAGUCGCAGUCCGACGCGGUCACGGCAGCGCCGCAGAGCACAGAAUCCUCGGCCGGUACCGGCUCGACCACCGAGCAGCCUUCAGCGUUCCACGCGAACUUCGAGGCGGCGUUCUCAAACACGUGCGCCGUCCAGGAGGAUGGCCAGGUGUCGUCGGACGCGCCGGCACCGCCCGGCCGGCCCGAGUCACUGCAGCUCAGCGCAGGCGCCGGCUCCAUGGAGGUGCAGCCCGAGCUGCUGGUGGCGGAGCCGGUGACGCCGCCGGCCGACCGGCCAGAGUCUCCGCACGAGCUGAACUCGACGGGAGGCGACUUCACUCCGCUCUUCCACGAGUCUUCCGUGACGGCGGAGUCCGCGGCGGCGACGUCCGAGGCGGGGGACGGUAGCGGGGAGUCGCCGCUCUCCGAACCGACGGAGCAGCUGGCCGACAACUACAGCUUCCUGACGUCGCAGGGUCUGAUGAACGGCUCUGCGUCCGAGGGCGAGGAGGGCGGAGAGCCGGAGCCGACUGCCGAGCUAGCCGCCGCCAGCCGGACCGCCGACCUGCCCAGCCCGUCGAAGGUGGCGGCCGCGGAGCCGGCGGCGCCGCAGUCGGAGCCGCACGUACCGGCCUGAGCGGCUUCCGGAGCAGCGCGGGCCACCCACAGAGAGCGUGAGAGCGGGCUCAUCAGUCGGCCACUAGCACAGCAAUACACACACUGACAGAUAUACGGGGCGCAGCUGCCGCCUCCGCCGCCUCCGCCGUCGAGCCGAGCCGAGACGAGACGAGACGAACCGAUUGCGAGAGUGACUGACCGGGUGAUUGGGCGUGUGAGUGUGAGUGUGAGAGGGCGAGAGCCAGCGAGCUGUGAGAUUGAGAAAGAGAGCUGUCCAACUACGCUGUGAUACGCCGCGCUCCCGUCGCAGAGGCCGCCGGGUAGCGCCAGUCCCGCGCACAGACACACAAACAGACAUACCUACACACAAACACACACACACACACACACAGGUACACCCACGGAGACAUGACAGGCGGCCGGCGCCGCGCCGCCUCGGCUACAAUCAUGUCGCAUAAUUGAGCCGGGCCGGCCGAGUGACGCGCGCCCCCCGGCAACAGUUUUAACCGGUUUUCGUUUGUGUGCGGACGGCGGUGACGGCGCCGCCGACACAGUCUGAACAUUCCAGGAGGGUGCGGGUAGCGCCGGCCGGUGCGCCGGCCGCCCGACCUGACCUGACCUGACCCCGCCCCGGCGGCUCGCGACUCGACCUGAAGUGACCUCACGUCCGGCCGCGGCCGCCGCCGCCGCGCCGCGCCGCGCCGCUGAUGAUGUGUCGCUCGCCACCCCAUGAGAACUCCACUUGCCACUCUCUGUAUGCAUUUUACUGGGUAUCGCGGGUCCAACGCUUGGCGCUGGGAAGCGACGCGGGCAGUGGUCCCGGCGAGCAGCGUGCCUUUUGCCUGCCCCCGACUCUGACAGCGCUUGCCUUCCCCUUCCUCCCCGUCCCGUCCUGACCCCUCCCUCCCCUGUCUGUCCGUCUCUCGUCUAUCCAACUCACCUGAGCCGCUGGCCAGGCCCGCCGCCGCCGCCGCCCGUGCGCUGAGCGGGGCGGCUCGGGCGGCACGGCGGGCCUGUCGGGCGGACAGCUCCCAUUGGAUGAAGCGGGUGGAAGCUGCUGAAAAUGUACCUUGUACAAAUGUUAAUAUAUUGUAGCCAGUG
rnacentral:misc_RNA from 1 species